CCUACGGGAGGCAGCAGUAGGGAAUCUUCGGCAAUGGGGGGAACCCUGACCGAGCAACGCCGCGUGAAGGAAGAAGGAAUUCGUUCUGUAAACUUCUGUUAUAAAGGAAGAAAGACGGAUGGAGGAAAUGACAUCCGAGUGACGGUACUUUAUGAGAAAGCCACGGCUAACUACGUGCCAGCAGCCGCGGUAAUACGUAGGUGGCAAGCGUUAUCCGGAGUUAUUGGGCGUAAAGAGGGGGCAGGCGGAAGCAAAGGUCUGUGGUAAAAGACUGAAGCUUAACUUCAGUAAGCCAUAGAAACCGGGCAGCUAGAGUGCAGGAGAGGGUCGUGGAAUUCCAUGUGUAGCGGUGAAAUGCGUAGAUAUAUGGAGGAACACCAGUGGCGAAGGCGACGCUCUGGACUGCAACUGACGCUCAGUCCCGAAAGCGUGGGGAGCAAAUAGGAUUAGAUACCCGUGUAGUC
rnacentral:rRNA from 1 species